UACGUAGGGCGCAAGCGUUGUCCGGAAUUAUUGGGCGUAAAGAGCUCGUAGGCGGUCUGUCGCGUCGGAUGUGAAAGCCCGGGGCUUAACUCCGGUUCUGCAUUCGAUACGGGCUAGCUAGAGUGUGGUAGGGGAGAUCGGAAUUCCUGGUGUAGCGGUGAAAUGCGCAGAUAUCAGGAGGAACACCGGUGGCGAAGGCGGAUCUCUGGGCCAUUACUGACGCUGAGGAGCGAAAGCGUGGGGAGCGAACAGG
rnacentral:rRNA from 1 species